rnacentral:lncRNA from 1 species
CGCGUGGCGAAGAUGCAAGGAAGAAAAAUGGAGGAUUUUUUUUAUAUCAAUCCUACCUCUAUUGGAAGGUAAUAUGCUUUAUUUAAUAUCAAUCCUUGUAGUAGAGUACUUAGACUGCCGACAUAGAUGGAAAUUUAGGACAACGAGCCCGAAUUUAAAGCGAUAUUUCGACAUAAAGUUUGUGCUUUUGCUUUGCACGUGGUUCGCUUUAUGGGCGAUUGUCGAAUUUUAAACCUUGUUUUAGUUCAUAAUUAUUGUCAAUACUAUAGACCAAGUGAGUAAAAAGGCUAAUUAAGAUCUAGAAUUGUUUAAGUUGUCGAAAAAAGUUGUUCUCCCUGAGUGUCUGAGUUUUUGCCGAAAAUUUUUUAUAUUAAAAUAUGCACCAGCUGUAGAGCAUGUACUAAAAGGCAAAACGUCGAAAAAAAACCCACCGAAACGAAACGAAACGGCCGAAACCACAAAAACGCAAUGGCCAAAACAAAACGGCCGAAACCACAGGAAAAAACUAGAAGUUACUAUCGCAAGAAAAGUGCUGCCUCACUUCCAAGGGACAGGGCCGAAUUUCAAGUUCACCCUCACCCCCACCUCCUCUUCCCCUCUCCCAACCAUAUUUAUUUAUUUAACUUUGCCAACUAGGGCAGGGUCACCACAACAGCAUAUGCCAAUUACUGUGGGCCCUUUUACCUAACCCGCCCUGUUGACUUUCCCUGUGGGAGGAAACCGGAGUAGCACCUUCCAACAUGUAAACAGCCCUUAAGAUGCCUGUUCAGGAGGUAGGAAAAGUGCAAUUUGAAUGUCAAAUACCUUGCACAAAGUUGAAUCACAUCUAAAUACUCUAUUCUACUUUCUUGGCAUUGGCGGUUUUAUAUGAAUACCAUGCAUCAAUUCUUAUAAUUAUUUAUUACUUUUGUAUAUGUAUAAUUAUAAUACUGUCUGUGGCAAAGCUAGCCAUAGCAACAGGUGAUGUUAUGAAAGUUUUUAAUGAUUUGUAUUAUUCAAAUCAUGCAGGUUUAUUGGCAUAGCAUUGACCAGUUGCCAUGNNNNNNNNNNNNNNNNNNNNGUGUAACAGCCCCUCCCAAUAAUUAAAAGUUGGUCAAAAUGGAACUGGUAUUUGCUCAAAGUUGGUCAAACUGGAACUGAUAACGUCAAAGUUGGUAAAUUGUAAUGAAAAAUUGGCAAGCCUUGCUUAUUUUGGUCGAAAAACUUUUAAAUAUGCUCAUAUUAGUUUGGAAUCCCCCNNNNNNNNNNNNNNNNNNNNGGGGGGGGGGGGGGGGGGGUGUAACACUGAAUAUAGAAAUACCAAGUCAAUUUUUGUCUCUAUGGCAAUUAUCGUUUUAAUGGCACCUUCAAGGCUACCCCUAUCACAGAGUAAUUUAAUAAUCUGCUGAUGGAGAGACAAAAUCUAUUCAUUGACAUUAUUGUUCAAUAUGUCAGCUUCAGAUGACACCAUUCAUUGUAAUGAUUAAGAUUGUACUCACUAAGAUUGUACUCAAUCUGAACAGCAAAAUUAUGCAAUAAGAAAGAAAUUGUGAGCAUUAAUUAUCGAAAAAUAUAGUAUACCCUGAAAUCAGUGAAAUGUAGUGACACAGCCAGGUGAAUAUAGGAAGUUAACCUGAAGUUCAGGCCCUAAUCACAGAAUAGGGCCUGACACAAAACCUAUCUAAACUGUGAGAUUCCCGUCCAUCUGGUGGACGGGAAAUCUGAUUGGUUGAUCAGCAUCAUGAAGGAUUUUGAUUGGUUGCAAGUUCACAUAAACAACAGUUUUAAAAAUAGCUCGGUCAAGGCCAAGGGCUCAAGGUGACAAUUUAAAUAAAGGUCAAACACAAGUAACAAAUUCCAUUAUCGAUUUCUUUGAAUUUCUUUUCUUUUAUGCUUUAUGGCAGAAAAUAAAUGAAACAAACAGUAUUUUGAAAGGGCUUUAUAAAAAACUUUGACGAAUUUUGGACACACAAUGCUGAAAGAACAGCCAAACUAGUCGUGUAUCGAAAGCUUGUUGUUGACAGCCAAGAUGUUCUGCCAACUGGCUUCACCGGCAAAAGUCUUAUUUUUAAUAUCAGGUCCUACCGGCGUUGUUUUAGUCGUGGUAUGAUUGAGAAUUUCAUUGUUGCUGUUGUUAGCCCGUUAGAGUAUAUCUGCAUCCAGCAAGUUAAGACCUUGAGAAAGCUUGGCAGUCAAGCCGUGCCCAGAACUGACUAAUUAAAUCUUUGAUUGCUGUUCGGUUAAAUAGAGAAACUGACUCUUAAUUAUAUAAAAGUACCUUGAAUUUUUAAGUUUAAAAAGCAAAAUGCACACUUAUAAUAACUCUGCGGACAUGUUCAUUAGAAUAUAAUUUUUUUGUGUAACGAAAUCUACAACACUUGUCAAUCAUAUUGCAUGUUGUGUCUAAAAAUAACAUGUGGGCAUCCCACGGUCUAGACAGGUUUUGUGUCAGGCCCUAUUUCAAAUUAGGGCCUGAACUUCAGGUUAUAGGAAUGUAGGCUGGUAGGAUUAUUUCAUAUAAUGCUAUGGAUGGACAUAUCUCAGAGAUAUAAGCAGUUAAAGCAGACCAUUAUAUUUUGUACAAAAGUUGAUUGACAAAUUUGACAUGCUGUUACCUAAGGGAUGAGCCGAUUAAUUGGUAAAUAAUCGGCUGUUUUUUAAAUAAUCGGUAAUCGGCCGAUUAUUGCCUGAUAAUCGGCUAUAAGACUUUUUCUGCAGCUGCCAAUCACAUGCUAAAAUACUGAAUACAAGCGAAUAGAUUUUCUCAUUUUGUUGCAAAACCUGUGUCUUUUGUCUCAAGCGAAGUGAAGCUGGGAACAUUUCCACUAAAAAAAACGCAGCAGACUAGCUCCGCAAUGGCAUAGCUAACAGCUGGUGUCUUGUUUUUACACCAUAAUCUGCCAAAACUAAAGUUUGACUAUUGACAUGCGAGACUGAAGCUGUUUUUAAUUGUACAAAGUGUGUAUUGUAAACAAUAAAACCGCAUUUCCAACUUCAUUGUUGGUCAUCUUGUGAUUUUUCUCUUGCUUUUUACAAUAAUCGGUGGGUACCGAUUAAUCGGCCGAUUAGUUCCAAUAAUCGGCUUAUAAAUAAUCGGCCUCAGUAAUCGGCAAUUUUCCUUAUCGGCUCAUCCCUAGCUGUUACAUGUAUUAAACUGCUGGUAAAUUAAUAAUUUAAUAUGUGCAUGCAGCAAUAUGCAGCAUGUGUUGCUAGUAUAGGUAUCUUAUUAAGCCUGAUUAUGAUACAUCUAGAAUGAACACAAAAAAACUCAUCGCCACACAAACAAAUAUAAAACUAAAGGUACAUUUUGACUCCUUGUAUAUAUAUAAAAUAUUGACAUUAUUGUCUAUUGACGAAUCGAAGCGAGUACCGACUCGAAGCGGGUUUUAUAGCUAAACCUCGAGCUAAACAGCAUAUGUAAAUAUAAUAUGUAAAUAUAAAUGGCUUCAUCGUAUAUCACCAGAAUUAAAGCAUCUGAUAUAAAGUCAUCCUUACCUGAUUUAUUCAAAAUGUUGUCGAUCGUUUCCAUUGUGCAAAUCCAACAAACUGUAUGUAUUAAAAUAUAAAGCUCGACACCCAGGUCUAAAUUAAUCAAGCCAUCAUCCAGUGCUUUUAAAUACAUUUUGUCUCCUUCCAAUAAGACAUUAGUAAUGUUGAUUUUGACCAAUUAAUCAGCGGAUUAUUUUCGGCUGCUAAAAUAGCCAAUAAACUCAUAAAAGCACAUUGCUUUCCUCUAGAUAGAACACUAAAAAGUUCAUCGCCUUGAUGUAUAUUAAUGGAAAGAAAUAAAGCCAUGCUUACCUACGUUUUUUCUGAAAGGUUUUGAUCGCUUGAAUUCCAUGUAGACAUUAAAUUUUGAACACGUGAGAGGUAAAAUGCGUGCGCACACGAUUAGAAAAGAUUUUGUUCACUCCCCCACAUUUUAAAAAUGACUUGAAGCUCGACUUUUUGCCCGGAUUUGGACAGACCCAUCCACCGAUGCGAAUUCGACUUCUCGACAAUACAUAGUUUGCGCAGGAAACUGGGUUGAGUGAACUGUAGGGAAUCAAAAGCACGUCGAGAAUAGUGUGCUGCCUCGCUAAUUACAGGAAAAAUGGAAAAUGCAAAAAUAUUAAAAUAUGAAAUUUAUGGGAAAUUUUAAGACUACAUUAGCACAGAAUACUAACCAGAAAGUCAUCUCUAUUGUUUUUUUGUGCUAUUCGUCAUCGAUCCGCCCCUCAGCAAGUACCGUAAACAGAAGUAUUUACCCCCUGGAAAUACCCAAAAAAGGCGAUGUCAUCAGGGGGUGACUGCUUCUGUUUACGGUACUUGCUGAGGGGCGGAUCGAUGACGAAUAGCGCUAAUAGGCAAAACACAAUAGAGAUGACUUCUAAACCUGCGUAAAAAGAAGGGACCACUUGCAGUCUAGAAUAGGUUAGUAUUCUCUGCUAAUGUUGUCAAAGUCCUCUGGGUUGCCUGCACCCUACCACAGAAUAAAGACAUACAGAAGUGUAUCUUCUUAUUAAAAGUGCGUAAGGGAUUUUUUCAGUCUGCCAUGUUCUUAGCAAGUGCCCUAAAGAGAGGCAGUCACCCCCUGGGAACAUAUUGAAAAUUUAAUAUUCCAGGGGGGUGAAUGCCUCUCUUUAGGGCACUUGCUAAGAACAUGGCCACCAGCUAUUUCGGUAAAAAAGCGCCUUACGGUUUUGUAAUGGAAGUUACACUUCUGUAUGUCUUUAUUCUGUGACCCUACCCCCCACCCCCCAAAUGUUAAAAAAUUUCCGUAAAUUUCAUAUUUUAACAUUUUCCAUUUUUCCUGUAAUUUACAUUUUCGGUGGUUUCGGUCAUUUUGUUUCGGUCGUUUUGUUAUUUGCCUUUUAGUACAUGCACACCAGUAGCAGUGUAAAGCCUUUUUUGACAUGAGCUGGCAAUGAUUCAGAGAAUUUCCAAAAAAUAAAAGGACGCCUGAAGUCAAAAUGAAGUUGAAAACAAUUCCAAUCAAAUUUUUAACGUUUCCAAUUGGGCUGUAUUUUUCGGAUCAAUUUUGAAAAUUACAAAAAAUAACUAAAAAUAUGUGCUUCCGGUUUCAUAUCUGAAAAAAGUUUGAUAGGAUAGGUCGGAAAACAAAUUUUCUUCAAAUACUUUUUGGUUUGACAUUGGUUAGCAAUUGCCGUGAUAAGUUGGCAUAUUGCCACAACAUAUAAACAUUUCAAGAAGCAAUAACUGUAGACAACGGACACAUCUGUUUCAGACUCAAAAAUACGCACUAGUAGCAGUGUAAAGUAAAGCCUUUUUUGACAUGGAACUGGCAAGGAUUCAGAGAAUGCUAAAAAAAAAUUAAAAAGGACAGUAUUAAAUUUAAAAGCAUAUUAACUUGAUUUAGGUGGAAAAAAAUUCCAAUCAAAUUUUAACAUUUCCAAUGGACAACUUGCAUGUUAGACUUAAGGCCGUUUUCCACUAGGCGAAUUUGUUCGCGCGACGCGAAGCGAAAACCGAAAUCCGGCAACGUGAUUGGUCGGCGAAAAAAUUCGCGGCGAAAAAGUAGGAUCGCUUCCUACUUUUUAUCUGUUCGCGCGAAAAAAUUCGCCUAGUGGAAAACGGCCUUAAAUUUUAAUCUAAGUAAAGAGAAGGGAAUAAAACACAACAGUUAAAAAGAAAAUAAUGAAAUUAGUAAAAUUGCAAAAUUUGGUUGCGAAAUGUUGGAAAUUGCAGAAAAUAUUAGCUUGCGAAGUUUGCAUAUUUUCAGUAUAUUUGUAUUACGUGCGGGUAAUUGUUACCAUUUUCGGCUCAAAAAUGGUAACAAUUUCCGCACGCAAUACAAACAUACUGAAAAUAUGCAAACUUUGCAAGGCUAUAGUUUUUACAUUUUACAACAUUUCGCAACCAAAUUUUGCAAUUUUACUGAUUUUAAUAAGUUCUUUACGUGAAUUUACUUUUUUUGGCCUAAAUAAAAAAUUAGACUAACAUGAAAGUUGUCUAUUGGUCGGCAUUUUUCUGAUCUAUUUUGAACAUUAUAAAAAAUAUGCGUUUCAGGUUUCAUAUCCUUUUUUCAGGUAGGAUAGGUAGGUCGAAUAAAACACAUUUUCUUCAAAUAUUUUUUGGCUUGACAUUGAUCAGAAAUUGCCGUGAUUUGUGCCAAUAUUUCCACAACAUAUAAACAUUUCAAGAACCAACAACUGUGGGCAACAGACAAUAUAUUUGACAUAAAGUUAUGGAAAAUAGGGUUGACUGGAAAAUAUUUUUUGUUUCAGUCUCUGGUGCUAUGCACAUGUUCAUAUUGAGUUUUUCAUCUCCCUAGCCAAGCUAUUCAUAUCCUCAUCAAAAUUUGCAUAAAUUUUUAUAGAUGUUCGGUGCAAGUUCCAAGAAUUUUGCAAGCCCCUGCCUCAAGAUCUCAUGAUUACAAAAAAUGGACACAUUCCAAGAUCCUGAAUAAGAGGUAAAUUGUUUUUCUUCUAAUUAUUUCUAACCUUCUCCUUGUAUUUCUUGGACAAUUUUCUUUGUAAUAUAUUAAUUUGUUUCAUGUUCUCAAUAGUGAGUUUUUAAAAUUUUCUAGAUGUGUGUUGCAAUUUCCAAGAAGUUGUUGGCUGAAGUGUUUUUGAUCACAAAAAUGAACACCGUCAUUGGAAAGUAUAUAAAAGGUCUUAAUAUUUUCCUGUCUUAUUUUACAUGAAAUGCUUUGAACAUUAUGUGAUUGCUUGUGAUCUGAAAUAGUUUCAGAAAUCCCUGCAGAAUAUUGCAAAAGUAUAAUGACCAUCUUAUUUAUGACAUAAAUUCAACAAAAAUAACAGACACAAUCUUUACACCUUAAUUAAUAUGGUCAGUGCAUAACAAUUGCACCCUGUUUAUUCUAUUAUUUCACCACUAUUUCAACUUGUAUUAAUUAAUUUGGAAAAUGUCAGUUUUGUGGUCCCUCGAUUACUUUAAGUUUUGUGUUGCCACCAAUCACAGAAAGUCUAUAAUUUUCAAAGCAUAUAAGCAUUUUAUGAGCGAGCCAGAAAAUGACAAACUGUCUGUGUUUUGAAAAAUUGUGUUUAACAGUGACAAUUCGGUUUGGACAUAUAUUUUUUCUGUUUGGCAUAAUAGCUAAAUCUUAAAGCACAGAACAUAUAAAUUUGUGUUGAUCUGUGUUCUAUCUGAGAACAUAGUUAUUUCUACAUAUUUCCUAAUUACGUUUUUGUCAAAUAUAAAAAAAAUGAAAGUUUGUCAUUAUUUGGCUUUGUUACAUCAGUUAAACGUUGAGAAGAUUGAGGUGGUUUUUAUAAGAAACCAAAACGGUUACUUACAAAUAAGACAUAUGACUUUAUUAGUUUUAAUUCAGGAUUUUAUUUCAGUCCUCUUUCAUGUUUCGGUAUUAAUUUGGAGCAUGUUUUCAUUAAAAGAUUAAAAGAACACUGAUUAAGUCAUUAACAUUUGUCUCAUUGUACUUUUUGUUUUGAACUUG